rnacentral:rRNA from 1 species
UACGUAGGUGGCAAGCGUUGUCCGGAUUUAUUGGGUUUAAAGGGUGCGUAGGCGGUCUUAUAAGUCAGUGCUGAAAUAUCCCGGCUUAACCGGGAGGGUGGCAUUGAUACUGUAGGACUUGAGUAGAGUUGAGGUUGGCGGAAUUGACGGUGUAGCGGUGAAAUGCUUAGAUAUCGUCAAGAACACCGAUAGUGAAGACAGCUAACUAAGCUGUAACUGACGCUGAGGCACGAAAGUGUGGGGAUCAAACAGG